rnacentral:lncRNA from 1 species
CGAAAGCCGAACCGUUUCCGCUAUUGUCUACACCUUUAUUAAACAGACUACAUUCAUACAUAUAUAUACAUAUACACUUAAUAAAAGCUGAAUCAAAUUUUUGGAGAAUGGUCUGUUUUACAUGUUUAAGCCCGUUUCCCAUCAGGACGAGUACUAAAGGACAUGAUCAAUUCCCACCACGAGCUGUAUCCAUAUCCGUGGAGCGGGCCAGAGGGUGAAGUAUGGGGGAUGGCUGGGCCCAGAACCCCCGAAAAACUUUUCAGAAGAUGCCGGACCCGGAUGGGCCUGCCUGGCGGAUCAACGCGUUACCACCCGGGGAAAUGGCCGAAUUUGAUAAUGUAUCCCAAAGAGCAAAGAGAAGUCUAAAAAAAGAUGCCUGGUCUACAACGUAAACAUUGUAUUGAAACUGUUGUUAUAUGAUACUUAUAUUACGAAACGUAGAUGUGAUCAUAAAAUAUUUUGACAAACUCUCAUAUUGAUUCCUU